rnacentral:rRNA from 1 species
GGGUUGUGAGGUUAAGCGACUAAGCGUACACGGUGGAUGCCCUGGCAGUCAGAGGCGAUGAAGGACGUGCUAAUCUGCGAUAAGCGUCGGUAAGGUGAUAUGAACCGUUAUAACCGGCGAUUUCCGAAUGGGGAAACCCAGUGUGUUUCGACACACUAUCAUUAACUGAAUCCAUAGGUUAAUGAGGCGAACCGGGGGAACUGAAACAUCUAAGUACCCCGAGGAAAAGAAAUCAACCGAGAUUCCCCCAGUAGCGGCGAGCGAACGGGGAGCAGCCCAGAGCCUGAAUCAGUGUGUGUGUUAGUGGAAGCGUCUGGAAAGGCGCGCGAUACAGGGUGACAGCCCCGUACACAAAAAUGCACAUGCUGUGAGCUCGAUGAGUAGGGCGGGACACGUGGUAUCCUGUCUGAAUAUGGGGGGACCAUCCUCCAAGGCUAAAUACUCCUGACUGACCGAUAGUGAACCAGUACCGUGAGGGAAAGGCGAAAAGAACCCCGGCGAGGGGAGUGAAAAAGAACCUGAAACCGUGUACGUACAAGCAGUGGGAGCACGCUUAGGCGUGUGACUGCGUACCUUUUGUAUAAUGGGUCAGCGACUUAUAUUCUGUAGCAAGGUUAACCGAAUAGGGGAGCCGAAGGGAAACCGAGUCUUAACUGGGCGUUAAGUUGCAGGGUAUAGACCCGAAACCCGGUGAUCUAGCCAUGGGCAGGUUGAAGGUUGGGUAACACUAACUGGAGGACCGAACCGACUAAUGUUGAAAAAUUAGCGGAUGACUUGUGGCUGGGGGUGAAAGGCCAAUCAAACCGGGAGAUAGCUGGUUCUCCCCGAAAGCUAUUUAGGUAGCGCCUCGUGAAUUCAUCUCCGGGGGUAGAGCACUGUUUCGGCAAGGGGGUCAUCCCGACUUACCAACCCGAUGCAAACUGCGAAUACCGGAGAAUGUUAUCACGGGAGACACACGGCGGGUGCUAACGUCCGUCGUGAAGAGGGAAACAACCCAGACCGCCAGCUAAGGUCCCAAAGUCAUGGUUAAGUGGGAAACGAUGUGGGAAGGCCCAGACAGCCAGGAUGUUGGCUUAGAAGCAGCCAUCAUUUAAAGAAAGCGUAAUAGCUCACUGGUCGAGUCGGCCUGCGCGGAAGAUGUAACGGGGCUAAACCAUGCACCGAAGCUGCGGCAGCGACGCUUAUGCGUUGUUGGGUAGGGGAGCGUUCUGUAAGCCUGCGAAGGUGUGCUGUGAGGCAUGCUGGAGGUAUCAGAAGUGCGAAUGCUGACAUAAGUAACGAUAAAGCGGGUGAAAAGCCCGCUCGCCGGAAGACCAAGGGUUCCUGUCCAACGUUAAUCGGGGCAGGGUGAGUCGACCCCUAAGGCGAGGCCGAAAGGCGUAGUCGAUGGGAAACAGGUUAAUAUUCCUGUACUUGGUGUUACUGCGAAGGGGGGACGGAGAAGGCUAUGUUGGCCGGGCGACGGUUGUCCCGGUUUAAGCGUGUAGGCUGGUUUUCCAGGCAAAUCCGGAAAAUCAAGGCUGAGGCGUGAUGACGAGGCACUACGGUGCUGAAGCAACAAAUGCCCUGCUUCCAGGAAAAGCCUCUAAGCAUCAGGUAACAUCAAAUCGUACCCCAAACCGACACAGGUGGUCAGGUAGAGAAUACCAAGGCGCUUGAGAGAACUCGGGUGAAGGAACUAGGCAAAAUGGUGCCGUAACUUCGGGAGAAGGCACGCUGAUAUGUAGGUGAGGUCCCUCGCGGAUGGAGCUGAAAUCAGUCGAAGAUACCAGCUGGCUGCAACUGUUUAUUAAAAACACAGCACUGUGCAAACACGAAAGUGGACGUAUACGGUGUGACGCCUGCCCGGUGCCGGAAGGUUAAUUGAUGGGGUUAGCGCAAGCGAAGCUCUUGAUCGAAGCCCCGGUAAACGGCGGCCGUAACUAUAACGGUCCUAAGGUAGCGAAAUUCCUUGUCGGGUAAGUUCCGACCUGCACGAAUGGCGUAAUGAUGGCCAGGCUGUCUCCACCCGAGACUCAGUGAAAUUGAACUCGCUGUGAAGAUGCAGUGUACCCGCGGCAAGACGGAAAGACCCCGUGAACCUUUACUAUAGCUUGACACUGAACAUUGAGCCUUGAUGUGUAGGAUAGGUGGGAGGCUUGGAAGUGUGGACGCCAGUCUGCAUGGAGCCGACCUUGAAAUACCACCCUUUAAUGUUUGAUGUUCUAACGUUGACCCGUAAUCCGGGUUGCGGACAGUGUCUGGUGGGUAGUUUGACUGGGGCGGUCUCCUCCUAAAGAGUAACGGAGGAGCACGAAGGUUGGCUAAUCCUGGUCGGACAUCAGGAGGUUAGUGCAAUGGCAUAAGCCAGCUUGACUGCGAGCGUGACGGCGCGAGCAGGUGCGAAAGCAGGUCAUAGUGAUCCGGUGGUUCUGAAUGGAAGGGCCAUCGCUCAACGGAUAAAAGGUACUCCGGGGAUAACAGGCUGAUACCGCCCAAGAGUUCAUAUCGACGGCGGUGUUUGGCACCUCGAUGUCGGCUCAUCACAUCCUGGGGCUGAAGUAGGUCCCAAGGGUAUGGCUGUUCGCCAUUUAAAGUGGUACGCGAGCUGGGUUUAGAACGUCGUGAGACAGUUCGGUCCCUAUCUGCCGUGGGCGCUGGAGAACUGAGGGGGGCUGCUCCUAGUACGAGAGGACCGGAGUGGACGCAUCACUGGUGUUCGGGUUGUCAUGCCAAUGGCACUGCCCGGUAGCUAAAUGCGGAAGAGAUAAGUGCUGAAAGCAUCUAAGCACGAAACUUGCCCCGAGAUGAGUUCUCCCUGACCCUUUAAGGGUCCUGAAGGAACGUUGAAGACGACGACGUUGAUAGGCCGGGUGUGUAAGCGCAGCGAUGCGUUGAGCUAACCGGUACUAAUGAACCGUGAGGCUUAACCUUACAACGCCGAAGCUGUU